UACGGGGGGAGCAAGCGUUGUUCGGAAUCACUGGGCGUAAAGGGAGUCUAGGCGGUUUGGUAAGUGGGAUGUGAAAUGCCCGGGCUCACCCCGGGACCUGCAUCCCAAACUGCUGAGUUUGAGUACAGGAGAGGGUGGGGGAAUUCCAGGUGUAGCGGUGAAAUGCGUAGAUAUCGAGAGGAACACCUGCGGCGAAGGCGGGUUGCUGGGCUGACACUGACGCUGAGGCGCGAAAGCUAGGGGAGCGAACGGG
rnacentral:rRNA from 1 species